AGAGAGAGAGAUAAAGAAAGAAAGAAAAAAAGAGAAAGAGAGAGAGAGAGAGAGAGAGAGAGAGUUUGUUCUAAAACCGAGAAGUUUUAUUAGAACAAAGAACUCGCAGAAACCCAACCCAAGUGACAUUUGUUCUACAUUUUUAACCAAGAUCUGCUCGAAUGGUGGUGGAGAUACCAAAAAAUGUGGAUUUGUGUGUGAUAAACCGUGUAGAAAGUAUGACAAUUUCGUUUGUGUGUGCGAAUGACCUUCUUUUAUUCGAUGAUGAUGGCGUCCAAGUCGUUUCAGAUUAAUUUGCUUGAAUAUUUGGCGAAAAAAGAAGGUACAUUUCGUAAGGCGUUGUUUGGUGAAAAUUCGACGGUUUUUUGUAUAAAAUAAACUAUACGACCAGUGAUAAGCAUUGGAAACGUUAUUUCUCAAAGGAUAGAGAAGAAAGCAUCGAAAAAUACACCUCACAGUCGAUUUUAAAGGGCUUGUUCUAAAAGUUCCUUGAACUGGUGCAGUUUAAGGGAAGUUUAAGGUGCCAGUUUAAGGGUAAAAGUUCGAAACCCCGAUUUUAGAUCUCGAAAAUGUCAAUUGGGAAAGGUUAGCGGUGCAAAGAAGAUCGGAAUAGAUCAAUUCGGAUGGGAUCACAUCAUGGAACAAGGAGCUGGGACGAUCGACCAUCACUACAUCAGAAUACCUCAUAAAGCUAGUUCAAAGCAGGACGCGCAUCGGAACGGAUCACGGACGACUGACGCUUCCACACAUUUCAUUGUAUCACAUUUGUUUCGGUUAGUGACCGGUGCCAGGACCUGGUUUUGCGAUUGGUACCUUUGUCGGAACAGCUAAGGUAAACUUUUCGGGCCGCAAAACAGCGUCAAACCCCAAACUGUCUGCCGGAGAAGUACAGUGAAGAAGUGAGGAAUGCGAAAACGAUGGAGUACAACAGAGAAAGAAGGAACGCAAUGCGUUACAACACUGCGAAUGCUACGACACGGCGGUUCCACGGCGAAAAUGCACGGCGAGAUACUUCAACAAAUCAAAACAUGUCAUCGGAAUCUUCAUUCCAACCACGAUCGGCUAGAAGACGUCGUCGGUUCCGUCGUCGAAGAAACUGUAAUAACGCAAAUCGAGCAGCGUUUCCGGACACCAGCAGCUCACCUAUUAUGGAAGCUGUUGCAUCGCUUAUAAACGGAACGCAGAACGAGGACAUACAGAUGUGUAUGUCCUUGGCAACUCUUUUUCGCCGACUACCAUCCGAUCGCAAGAUUGCAGUGUACGCAUCCGUGCAAACAUACAUCAUCCGUCAACUUCUUGGUGCAGAACACGAUCAAGUUGUCAGUGAUCCAUGCAUCGUAGAUGUAUCUACCCGAACGGAAGAUUUCAAUAGUGCAACAGUUAAAAGACCGCCUAUGGAACAAUAAUAUUUGAUAGAACUCUUCUUGUAACAAUAAAGUAAUUUGAAACAAAUUUAAUUUGUUAGCCUCAAAAUUUGAUACUU